rfam:Glycine max cultivar Williams 82 chromosome 5, whole genome shotgun sequence.
GAGAGCACAGUACAAUGAAAGUUAUGAGCUGUGUUCGGGGGGGGGGGAGUUAUUGUCUAUCAUUGGCCUCAAUGGUAGAAUCAGUCGGGGCCUGAGAGGUGGUGGUUUUACCCUGU